CCUACGGGAGGCAGCAGUAGGGAAUCUUUCACAAUGGGCGAAAGCCUGAUGGAGCAACGCCGCGUGCAGGAUGAAGGCCUUCGGGUUGUAAACUGCUUUUAUAAGCGAGAAAUAUGAUGGUAACUUAUGAAUAAGGAUCGGCUAACUACGUGCCAGCAGCCGCGGUCAUACGUAGGAUCCGAGCAUUAUCCGGAGUGACUGGGUGUAAAGAGUUGCGUAUGUGGGAUAAUAAGUAGCUAGUGAAAUCUGGUGGCUCAACCAUUCAGACUAUUAGCUAAACUGUUAAGCUCGAGACCGUUAGGGGUAAGUGGAAUUACUAGUGUAGGAGUGAAAUCCGUAGAUAUUAGAAGGAACACCAAUAGCGUAGGCAGGUUGCUGCGACGGUACUGACACUAAGGCACGAAAGCGUAGGGAGCAAACGGGAUUAGAUACCCCUGUAGUC
rnacentral:rRNA from 1 species